rnacentral:rRNA from 1 species
AUACGGAGGAUGCGAGCGUUAUCCGGAUUUAUUGGGUUUAAAGGGUGCGUAGGCGGGCUGGUAAGUCAGCGGUGAAACGCAGGUGCUCAACACCUGACCUGCCGUUGAAACUGCCGGUCUUGAAUGCGGAUGCUGUGGGAGGAAUGUGUGGUGUAGCGGUGAAAUGCAUAGAUAUCACACAGAACACCGAUUGCGAAGGCAUCUCACAAAUCCGUGAUUGACGCUGAGGCACGAAAGUGCGGGGAUCGAACAGGAUUAGAUACCCUGGUAGUCCGCACUGUAAACGAUGAUGACUCGCUGUCGGCGAUAGACAGUCGGUGGCCAAGCGAAAGCGAUAAGUCAUCCACCUGGGGAGUACGACCGCAAGGUUGAAACUCAAAUGAAUCGGCGGGG